rnacentral:lncRNA from 1 species
UUGUAAACAUUCUUCAUCGGAAUGAAGCAAUAACUUUUUCAAUCAUGGAUUCAUAUUUUUCUUCUUUUGCUAUUUUUUGAAUCAUGCUGACUUCAUAUGAUUGCCAUUAAAAUUGAGUUUAAAUAUAAGUCAAUCAAAGACUUUUAGUAUCUUAAGACUGAUCAGAGGUCAAGUUUAAAUAUCUCAAGGCCGAUCAGAAGUCGAGUUUAAAUACCUUAAGACCGGUC